GACGAACGCUGGCGGCGUGCUUAACACAUGCAAGUCGAACGGAAAGGCCCUGCUUUUGUGGGGUGCUCGAGUGGCGAACGGGUGAGUAACACGUGAGUAACCUGCCCUUGACUUUGGGAUAACUUCAGGAAACUGGGGCUAAUACCGGAUAGGAGCUCCUGCUGCAUGGUGGGGGUUGGAAAGUUUCGGCGGUUGGGGAUGGACUCGCGGCUUUUCAGCUUGUUGGUGGGGUAGUGGCUUACCAAGGCUUUGACGGGUAGCCGGCCUGAGAGGGUGACCGGCCACAUUGGGACUGAGAUACGGCCCAGACUCCUACGGGAGGCAGCAGUGGGGAAGAUUGCACAAUGGGCGGAAGCCUGAUGCAGCAACGCCGCGUGCGGGAUGACGGCCUUCGGGUUGUAAACCGCUUUCGCCUGUGACGAAGCGUGAGUGACGGUAAUGGGUAAAGAAGCACCGGCUAACUACGUG
rnacentral:rRNA from 1 species